UGUAUUAUAUGGCUAUGAUGCUAUGCGCGCUCUGAUUGGCUGAUUUCCUGUCUAAUAUUUUCCCUUAUCAGGCUGUUACCAUGACAAUUGGUCCGGAUCGCGUAUCACAUUCAUUACAAACUAGAAAGCUAAAAACACAGUUAGAAAAACCAAGUCAGACAUGAACGUACUCCAUAAAUAUCUAAACAGCAUUGGAAAAACAUACAGAUUGAAAGUUUACCAGCUAACCUGACCAUCUUUUAAGCAAGUUCUUCAUCGAGGUGAAGAAAUGUAACAGGU